ensembl:lncRNA
GGCCUCCAGAGAUAAAGGGAGAAUGCAUGUGGGUUUUAUCUACCCAGCCAGUUCACUGCAGCUGAAGGAAAGCUGAAGAUCAAAGAGAAGCAGAUAGAAGGUUCUCUCAGCAGAGCAACCUGGUCAUGGAAAGUGGAGAUAAGCUACUCUGCCCAGAAGCCCCAGGAGAAGCUGUGGGCAGAACUUCAGACAGCUGAGUUUGAAGGACUUUUUCAUAGCUGAAGAUGUUAGGGUACUUUUCAACAACUUGUGUAUAAUCCUAGCCUACUGCGUUUUUAGUGACUGAAAUCCUGUUCCCAUGUUGUGAACUUUUCUUUAAGAACCUUUGGAAUUCAAUAUUGCCAUCUGUUUACUGUUGUUAACAGAUCUACCAAGUCUUGUGUUCCUCCACAUGGGAUGCUUCCUUAAACUCACUGAGGCAAGUUGCAGAUAAAUACAGUUCAAGUGCUAAGUGUCAGCCUUUAAUUAACUCAACCUGCAGUUGCAGUGUUAAAGUGGGAUUCAGAGGGUACCCAUAUGCAUGGAGCAGGAAAGCUGGUAGCUGACUUCCUUGGAAAACUGAGCAGCCAUAUGGGGAGUAGAUUGGAUGAAGAUGACUUGGAAGAUAACUUAAGUGCUUUGGGAACUGGAAAAAUCUGCUAGAG